CCUACGGGAGGCAGCAGUGGGGAAUAUUGGGCAAUGGGCGCAAGCCUGACCCAGCAACGCCGCGUGAAGGAAGAAGGCUUUCUGGUUGUAAACUUCUUUUGUCAGGGAAGAGUAGAAGACGGUACCUGACGAAUCAGCCACGGCUAACUACGUGCCAGCAGCCGCGGGAAUACGUCGGUGGCAAGCGUUGUCCGGAUUUACUGGGUGUAAAGGGCGUGUAGCCGGGUUGACAAGUCAGAUGUGAAAUCCUGCGGCUUAACCGCAGAACUGCAGUUGAAACUGUUGAUCUUGAGUACUGGAGAGGCAGACGGAAUUCCUAGUGUAGCGGUGAAAUGCGUAGAUAUUAGGAGGAACACCAGUGGCGAAGGCGGAUUGCUGGACAGUAACUGACGCUGAGGCGCGAAAGCGUGGGGAGCAAACAGGAUUAGAUACCCCGGUAGUC
rnacentral:rRNA from 1 species